rnacentral:rRNA from 1 species
AAACUCCUACGGGAGGCAGCAGUGAGGAAUAUUGGUCAAUGGACGGAAGUCUGAACCAGCCAUGCCGCGUGCAGGAAGACGGCUCUAUGAGUUGUAAACUGCUUUUGUACGAGGGUAAACGCAGAUACGUGUAUCUGCCUGAAAGUAUCGUACGAAUAAGGAUCGGCUAACUCCGUGCCAGCAGCCGCGGUAAUACGGAGGAUCCAAGCGUUAUCCGGAUUUAUUGGGUUUAAAGGGUGCGUAGGCGGUUUAGUAAGUCAGCGGUGAAAUUUUGGUGCUUAACACCAAACGUGCCGUUGAUACUGCUGGGCUAGAGAGUAGUUGCGGUAGGCGGAAUGUAUGGUGUAGCGGUGAAAUGCUUAGAGAUCAUACAGAACACCGAUUGCGAAGGCAGCUUACCAAACUAUAUCUGACGUUGAGGCACGAAAGCGUGGGGAGCAAACAGGAUUAGAUACCCUGGUAGUCCACGCAGUAAACGAUGAUAGCUCGUUGUCGGCGAUACACAGUCGGUGACUAAGAGAAAUCGAUAAGCUAUCCACCUGGGGAGUACGUUCGCAAGAAUGAAACUCAAAGGAAUUGACGGGGGCCCGCACAAGCGGAGGAACAUGUGGUUUAAUUCGAUGAUACGCGAGGAACCUUACCCGGGCUUGAAAGUUACUGACGAUUCUGGAAACAGGAUUUCCCUUCGGGGCAGGAAACUAGGUGCUGCAUGGUUGUCGUCAGCUCGUGCCGUGAGGUGUCGGGUUAAGUCCCAUAACGAGCGCAACCCCUACUGAUAGUUGCCAUCAGAGCGUNUGAGCGAUCAAACAAGCUGGGCACUCUAUCGGGACUGCCGGUGUAAGCCGAGAGGAAGGUGGGGAUGACGUCAAAUCAGCACGGCCCUUACGUCCGGGGCGACACACGUGUUACAAUGGUAGGUACAGAGGGCAGCCACCCAGUGAUGGGGAGCGAAUCUCGAAAGCCUAUCUCAGUUCGGAUUGGAGGCUGAAACUCGCCUCCAUGAAGUUGGAUUCGCUAGUAAUCGCGCAUCAGCCAUGGCGCGGUGAAUACGUUCCCGGGCCUUGUACACACCGCCCGUCAAGCCAUGGGAGUUGGGGGUGCCUGAAGUUCGUGACCGAAAGGAGCGACCUAGGGCAAAACCGAUGACUGGGGCUAAGUCGUAACAAGGUAGCCGUACCGGAAGGUGCGGCUG